rnacentral:rRNA from 1 species
CCCGUACCGUAAACCGACACAGGUAGUCGAGGAGAGUAUCCUAAGGCGCUCGAGUGAUCCGUGGCUAAGGAACUAGGCAAAAUGGUCUCGUAACUUCGGGAGAAGAGACUCCCCUCGUGAGAGGGGACGCAGUGAAGAGGCCCAGGCGACUGUUUAACAAAAACACAGGACUCUGCAAAAUCGUAAGAUGAAGUAUAGGGUCUGACACCUGCCCGGUGCUGGAAGGUUAAGGAAGGGGGUUAGUGCGUAAGUGCGAAGCUCUUAACUGAAGCCCCAGUAAACGGCGGCCGUAACUAUAACGGUCCUAAGGUAGCGAAAUUCCUUGUCGGGUAAGUUCCGACCUGCACGAAUGGUGUAACGAUCUGGGCGCUGUCUCAGCCACGAGCUCGGUGAAAUUGAAGUAUCGGUGAAGAUGCCGAUUACCCGCAACGGGACGGAAAGACCCCGUGAACCUUUACUACAACUUCACAUUGAGCUUGAAUACAGGAUGUGUAGGAUAGGUGGGAGGCUACGAAGCUGUGACGCUAGUCAUGGUGGAGCCAACGUUGAAAUACCACCCUUCCUGUAUUUAGGUUCUAAUCCCUAAAAGGGAAACAGUGUGUGGUGGGUAGUUUGACUGGGGUGGUCGCCUCCAAAAAAGUAACGGAGGCUCGCAAAGGUACACUCAGCAUGGUCGGUAAUCAUGCGAAGAGCGUAUUAGUAUAAGUGUGCUUGACUGAGAGACCGACGGGUCGAUCAGGAACGAAAGUUGGCUAAAGUGAUCCGGUGUUUCCGCAUGGAAGGGACAUCGCUCAAAGGAUAAAAGGUACUCCGGGGAUAACAGGCUGAUCCUACCCAAGAGCUCAUAUCGACGGUAGGGUUUGGCACCUCGAUGUCGGCUCGUCACAUCCUGGGGCUGGAGAAGGUCCCAAGGGUUGGGCUGUUCGCCCAUUAAAGUGGCACGCGAGCUGGGUUCAGAACGUCGCAAGACAGUUCGGUCCCUAUCUGUUGUGGGCGCAGGAAUAUUGAAGGGAGCUGAUUCUAGUACGAGAGGACCGAAUUGGACGUACCGCUAGUGUACCGGUUGUGGCGCCAGCUGCACCGCCGGGUAGCUAUGUACGGCAAGGAUAAGCGCUGAAAGCAUCUAAGCGCGAAGCCAUCCCUAAGAUGAGUAUUCCAGCACGUAAGUGUAAAGGACCCCAGAAGACUACUGGGUUGAUAGGUUAUAGGUGGAAGUGCAGUAAUGUGCGUAGCCGAGUAAUACUAAUUGUCCGACAGCUUCCUUUU